rnacentral:rRNA from 1 species
UGCCACCGAAUACAUUAGCAUGGGAUAAUGGAAUAGGACCCUGACCUCCUAUUUUCAGUUGGUUUUGUUUACAGCGAGGUUAUAUCAGGGUAAUGAUUAAUAGGGAUAGUUGGGGGCAUUAAUAUUUAAUUGUCAGAGGUGAAAUUCUUGGAUUUAUGAAAGAUUAACUUCUGCGAAAGCGUUUGCCAAGGAUGUUUUCAUUAAUCAAGAACGAAAGUUAGGGGAUCGAAGACGAUCAGAUACCGUCGUAGUCUUAACCAUAAACGAUGCCGACCAGCGAUUAGGAGACGUUGAAUACAAAACACCGCUGUUAAUCCUUUCGGGGGUUAAUAGUUGGUGAAUGACUCCCUAGCAGCUUGU